UUGUGCUCUGUGUUUGCAGACAUGCUCAGCGUGUCGUUAUCCAGGUGCGACACUGGGCUGCUUCUUCAAAGGUUGUCCCAACAAGUACCACUACAGAUGUGCUCUGGAGUCAGAAUGUGUACUCAUUGAAGAAAACUUCUCCAUGAAGUGUAAAAAGCACAAGGACAAGACGUUCAAAGGUCCUGCAGGGAACAGAUGCAACGGCAGGUGACAACGUUGGUGUGAAACUCAUGAGACUUUCACCUGCAGCGUCCGGCAGGGGCUGCCUUUUUCGCUGGUAACCAUGGCAACAUUGGACCAGGCUUCCUUCUGACUGACAGCUAGCACCCAUAAACCUUAACUUCACCCUCGGCUCCUCGCUCCGCUGUUAGACCUGACAUCAGCGACUGGAGGAGCUCAGCCACAGAGAGCUCCCUCGGGCCAGUCACGACACCUGGAGACUGAAAAAAAUCAUCCUCGCUUCCUUUAAAGAAACAGGCUGAAUUCGUGGAGUUAUUUAUGAAGAUUUGUUUUCAUGGAUUAAAUGAAUAAUAAUCAAAGAUAUUUAAUUUUUUUAAAGAUUUUCUAAGUAUUUGAUUAUAUUUGGUUUAUUUAUUCCUGAGGUUUCUUAAUGGCUUCUUUAGCAGUUGUCAAAAAGGUUUGACUGUGUUUCCUUUCUUUAAGUUAUUGGUGAAGCAGAUCAAUAUUGAAAUUUCAAUCUAGUCAAGGAGACGCAGGUUUUAGGAAGAGAUGGGACAGAAAAAAGGGCUGGACAUCGAUUUUAAGGACCCUCUCAGAACAAAGGUACCUGACCUGAGUUUUUUGGACUCACACAUGGCAUUACGUUUUGUUUCGCAAAGCCGAGAUCUCUCAGAUGACACGUGGCCAUUAACAAUGGGCCCAGUUGAUGUUGCGGAGGGGAGGGGGGCAGUGUAUGUUUGAAUGUAUUCUCUCGGUGUGAGGGGUUUCUGCAGGAUGCACUUUGGAAGAGGCACUGAACACGUAUGGUCCUCUGCUCCGGCUGCAGUGUUUCCUUCUUGGGCUGACACACACACACACACACACACACACACACACACACACACACACACACGUUAAGCAGAGCUGUUAAAUUGGAUUUGAAUAAUUUAAAGCCGAUUGGAUUAAUUUAUUCAGGAUGAUGUAAACUGCAAAGUGUUCACAUUUUCCCUGCUGUGCAUUUUAUUAAUCACAAUGAAUAUUAACCUGGUUAAUUCAUGCAACACUGUUUCAAACAAACAAACAAGUUCAUCAAAUCCAUUAUUGUAAACAUGUGAUGCUCUAAUCAAAUCUGCUUUCAAAUAAUCAAAUCACAUAACAUCAUUUGA